rnacentral:rRNA from 1 species
GGCCCGCACAAGCGGUGGAGUAUGUGGUUUAAUUCGAUGCAACGCGAAGAACCUUACCAGGGUUUGACAUCCUGCGAAUCUCUUGGAAACAGGAGAGUGCCUUCGGGAACGCAGUGACAGGUGGUGCAUGGCUGUCGUCAGCUCGUGUCGUGAGAUGUUGGGUUAAGUCCCGCAACGAGCGCAACCCACGUCUUUAGUUGCCAGCAUUAGUUGGGCACUCUAGGGAGACUGCCGGUGACAAACCGGAGGAAGGUGGGGACGACGUCAAAGUCAUCAUGGCCCUUACGACCAGGGCUACACACGUGCUACAAUGGGAUGUACAAAGGGUUGCGACCCCCGCGAGGGUGAGCUAAUCCCAUAAAACAUCUCGUAGUCCGGA